GCUUGCAUAGUGUAAUGGUUAGCACACAGGAUUCUGAUUCCUGUAAUCCAAAUUCAAUUCCUGGCGCAAUUU